AUGGCGGUCGAGGCAUUAUUUUUGCUUCCCCAUAAUGAGAUGGUGUCCGCCAAGCAGGGAGAAGUAGAAAAUGGAUGGUGUAUUUUACUAAGCUGGAGAACAUGGGGUUUUGAGUGGGAGAGGGAUUGAUAGAAAGGUUUAUGAAAGAUACUACAAGGCUCAAGGAUGAAUUAGACAUCAGAAAGUUCAUAUGUAAAGAUUUUUGGACUACAGAAUUCAAGAGACAAAUUGGCAAUCUAAGGACAAAUCAUCAGGGCAUAUAUGUUCAUCCGGACAACAAAUUCCCACUACGUAUUCAGCUGUCUGCA
rnacentral:lncRNA from 1 species